AAGCGUGCGCAGGCGGUUAUGUAAGACAGAUGUGAAAUCCCCGGGCUCAACCUGGGAACUGCAUUAGUGACUGCAUAGCUGGAGUACGGCAGAGGGGGAUGGAAUUCCGCGUGUAGCAGUGAAAUGCGUAGAUAUGCGGAGGAACACCGAUGGCGAAGGCAAUCCCCUGGGCCUGUACCUGACGCUCAUGCACGAAAGCGUGGGGAGCAAACAGGAUUAGAUACCCUUGU
rnacentral:rRNA from 1 species